AUUGAACGCUGGCGGCAGGCCUAACACAUGCAAGUCCAGCGGCAGCGGAAAGUAGCUUGCUACUUUGCCGGCGAGCGGCGGACGGGUGAGUAAUGUCUGGGAAACUGCCUGAUGGAGGGGGAUAACUACUGGAAACGGUAGCUAAUACCGCAUAAUGUCGCAAGACCAAAGAGGGGGACCUUCGGGCCUCUUGCCAUCAGAUGUGCCCAGAUGGGAUUAGCUAGUAGGUGGGGUAGCGGCUCACCUAGGCGACGAUCCCUAGCUGGUCUGAGGGGAAGACCAGCCACCCUGGAACUGAGACACGGUCCAGACUCCUACGGGAGGCAGCAGUGGGGAAUAUUGCACAAUGGGCGCAAGCCUGAUGCAGCCAUGCCGCGUGUAUGAAGAAGGCCUUCGGGUUGUAAAGUACUUUCAGCGGGGAGGAAGGUGUUGAGGUUAAUAACCUCAGCAAUUGACGUUACCCGCAGAAGAAGCACCGGCUAACUCCGUGCCAGCCGCCGCAGUAA
rnacentral:rRNA from 1 species